AUUGAACGCUGGCGGCAGGCCUAACACAUGCAAGUCGAACGAGUGGCGGACGGGUGAGUAAUGUCUGGGAAACUGCCUGAUGGAGGGGGAUAACUACUGGAAACGGUAGCUAAUACCGCAUACCAUCAGAUGUGCCCAGAUGGGAUUAGCUUGUUGGUGGGGUAACGGCUCACCAAGGCGACGCUCCCUAGCUGGUCUGAGAGGAUGACACGCCACCCUGGAUCUGAGACGCGGUCCAGCCUCCACCGGGAGGCACCAGGGGGUAAUAUUGCACAAUGGGCGCAAGCCUAAUGCAGCCAUGCCGCGUGUAGGAAGAAGGCCUUCGGGUUGUAAAGUACUUUCAGUGGGGAGGCGUUACCCGCAGAAGAAGCACCGGCUAACUCCGUGCCAGCAGCCGCGGUAAUUC
rnacentral:rRNA from 1 species